UACAAGGCCCGGAACGUAUUCACCGCGACAUUCUGAUUCGCGAUUACUAGCAACUCCAGCUUCAUGUAGGCGAGUUUCAGCUACAAUCCGAACUGGGAUGGGUUUUUGAGUUUGGCUCCACCUUGCGGUCUUGCAUCUCUUUGUUCCCACCAUUGUAGCACGUGUGUAGCCCCAGACAUGUACGAGUGGUAGAGGAGCAUCCUGUAUGGGCAGAAGUCAUACCGAAAGGAGUGGUGGACUGUACAGGAGAGAGUAUGCUGGCAUAAGUAGCGAGAACUAAGUGAGAAUCUUAGUGGUCGAAAAUCUAAGGUUUCCUGAGGAAGGUUCGUCCGCUCAGGGUAAGUCGGGACCUAAGCCGAGGCCGAAAGGCGUAGGCGAUGUACAAUCGGUUGAUAUUCCGAUACCACCAAACGACGUUAUCAGAAAUGGGAUGACGCAGAAGGAUAGGAUGUGCACACUAUUGGAUGUGUGUCUAAGCACUGAGGGUGAAUAAGGCAGGUAAAUCCGCUUAUUCUUAAGCCUGGGGUGUUACGGGGAAGGAAAUUUAUUUCCGAAGUAUCUGAUUUCAUGCUGCCAAGAAAAGUCUCUAUCGAGGAGUUUGGUGCCCGUACCGCAAACCGACACAGGUAGAUGAGGAGAGAAUCCUAAGACCAUCGGAAGAAUUGCUGUUAAGGAACUCGGCAAA
rnacentral:ncRNA from 1 species